rnacentral:lncRNA from 1 species
AAAACGAAGCGAUCGGAGGUAAGAUUUCGCGAUUUAGCUUAAGAUCUACCUUAUCCAUGCUUUCUUUUUCAUUUUCUAUGGUUGAAACUCAAGUUUUCAUGAUGGAAGCAUGCUGGCCGAAUCAAGGGGGGAAGGUUUUGAUGAUGGUUUUUGAUAGAUUUCAGGCUAUCUAGGUGUUUUUAGUGUUUUGUGAUAUUCGGUAUGAAAAACAAGCAAGAAAAUAACAUGUUCUUCAUCAAACCCUAAUUGGC